ensembl:lncRNA
ACGGAGGCCCGGGGAAAAGCCUUGCUCUCAGAGCUCCUGUUCCAGUCAGGCUUCUGGCCAACCCUCGAGUCACCAUCCUCUGGAAUCUUGUUUCCACUGGGAACUGGCCCAAAGAGAGGAAUACCCUCCUUCAUCUAGAAUUAGCGAGGGGCUAAUGUCUCCAGGGGUGCAUGCACUUAAAGCUUCCUGUGGGAUCUAUCAACAUUACCCACAAUGUUUACAUGCAGAGUUCCAGGCCUCAGCACUGACCUAGAAAAUUAGCAUCUCUGGAAAAGGGCUCCCGGAAUGCUAUUUUAACCAGCGUUGUGGAUGAUUCUAAGCUCAAUGCAGUUCGCAGGCUUUCUAGGCCUGGCAUGCUCCCCUGACCAAGUCAGAUUCUUCUUCAUCCUUAAGGAUGCCACUUCUCCUUUGAGGAGACUUCUCUGACUUCUCAAGCAAUUAACGCCUCUCUGUGUUCAAAUAACAUCUUGAAGGAACCUCUACUAUGUCCCUUAACGCACUGAAUUGUAAUUGUUGACUUGUCUCUAUUCUCCACUGUACUCUUCAGUUCUUGGGAGGCAGGGUCAGCCUCUUUGUAUCCUCAUCCACUAACACAGCACCGGACACUUUUUAAGUUACCGUCUACUGUCUGUGCUACUGGGCGAGGAAAUUCCGUAGCUAAGUAGUUAAGGGGUCCAUGUUUUGGCAGAUCUGCCUCGGAACGAAACUUCCCACACAACCUGGGGAAAAGGGAAUGUCUCUGAGCCUCAUUUGUAAAGUGGAGGAAGCACCUUAAGGUUGCUAUGAUGAGAAAGUAAAAUAAUACCGCAUAAAGUCCAUCACAUAGCAAGCAAGCAAUCAUCAGGGUGUUACGAAAUGGUUCCCCAACAAUCCGAUUUUCGGGUACCCUCACUUUAAUCCUUUAGCACCCCAGCACUCUAAGGGUAAUCCUUCUUUUAGGGAUUACUCUCUAAUCCUCCUCUCCUAGGUCAUUCCUCCAGCGAUUCAAUCGGCAAGUCAACCGCUAGGGCCAGGCAUGCAGAAAC